rnacentral:tRNA from 2 species
CGCGGAAUGGAGAAGAUGGUAUCUCGCUUGGCCCAUAACCAAGAGAACGCAUGGUUCGAGUCCUGCUUCCGCAA